ACAGAACGUGGCUCAAGGAGCUAGUUCAGAACGCUCGGUAUGUGUGUUUUGGGAGGAAGCCCUUUGUUUUCUGUGACAAACGAUAGCUUAUUAGAGCGACUACUUGAAACGGAGUUGAGCUUACAAACGAAUCUGAGCGCCAAUUCCUUUUCUGCAUGGUACCACUUUCUUAAGGUGCGGAAGUGAGUUUGGAUUGCAGAUGGUCAGGUGGAGAAAUGAAUGGCCCAUCCGGUGGCGUGGAUGGUUACUGCUUGGCAAACAAAUAAAAAAUCGAGCAUCAGCGUCUAUAACCUCGCUACUGACCGACAUUUCCGUUAACGCACUAACGGUGGACGCACAUUUCUUUCUGUACUUUCCCGUAUAAUGUCCAGGGGGUCAACAAAUAGGCGUUCCGUUUUUAACAAGUUCUGCAUCAGGUCGUGGAGACGCACGGAGCCGUUUCCCUCGGUUUCCCACAAGUGCUUACUCUAACGGAACCCCGCGGAAUGCUUGGCGUGGAGGAGCCUUGAAGAGCACACAGCUGAGAACACCGAACAAAAGAAAUCGCCUUCGUGGUCUUGUGUGGCCGAGAUUGCGCUGGAACACAACGCGGGAAGCUGUUGUCUUUUUGUCGUAGGCACCGGGCGGCUUUCCCCAUCCUUCACGUUCUGUGUAGGAAAAAUCUCCCGCCGUUCUCUCCGUGACACACUUGUAUCAAGCUGUGUAUGUUUCUCGAAUCGAGGCAGAUUAGACCGGUGGUUUGUUUUUGCUCGUGGCGUUGUCCCUUAGUACAUUUUCCAAAACGCAAGUGACGUCUGUUUCGCCUGUCCCGUUUGCCAGUGUAUGUGGGUAUUGUUUCAGCAGAAAGGAAACAAUGAACAGACGUCAUGGUCAGGUAGCCCGUCCAUUUGCGUCUUUCUGAGAUUCUCUCUACGCCAUGACCCUCCACAUUUUUGUCAGCUGCCCGCGGUCAAAAUUCUACACGUUGAGUUCGUGUCUGUUCCGCCCAAGAGGAGCAAAGUUUGUUCGGCGAAUUUUGUUCUCGAGAGAGUAAUUCUUUCUCCUCUGCCGACUCUGUCGCGUGUGUGAAACAAAUCUUAUUCGUCUUGUCUCAGUGCCAGAG
rnacentral:lncRNA from 1 species